rnacentral:rRNA from 1 species
AACGAACGCUGGCGGCAGGCUUAACACAUGCAAGUCGAACGCACCGCAAGGUGAGUGGCAGACGGGUGAGUAACACGUGGGGAUCUGCCCAAUGGUACGGAAUAGCUCCGGGAAACUGGAAUUAAUACCGCAUGAGCCCGCAAGGGGAAAGAUUUAUCGCCAUUGGAUGAACCCGCGUCGGAUUAGCUAGUUGGUGUGGUAAGGGCGCACCAAGGCGACGAUCCGUAGCUGGUCUGAGAGGAGGAUGAGCCACACUUGGACUGAGACACGGCCCAGACUCCGACGGGGGGCAGCAGUGGGGAAUAUGAGACCAUGGGCGCAAGCCUGAUCCAGCCAUGCCGCGUGAGUGAUGAGGGCCUUAGGGUUGUAAAGCUCUUUCGCCGACGAAGAUAAUGACGGUAGUCGGAGAAGAAGCCCCGGCUAACAUCGUGCCAGCCGCCGCCGUAAAAC